rnacentral:rRNA from 1 species
AUGGACUAUGCUCUAUGGGUUGACAAAUUUGAUUGCAGGGGCUGGCAAAGUAAGUGCAGUGUCACCGUUGCACAUAUAUUCAGGGCUACAUCAAACUUCAGUCAGAAGAACAUGACGAGGCAGGGUGCUUCAUGCAGUAUUGGGAGUGAAAGUUUGGUGUAUAAUCAGUGUCGCCUCCACUCUGCCCCGCCCCUGUGCUUUUUCCUCGAUGGAAAUGCGGGCCACCAUGCCGCUCACUUCGCGUGCAACCACUUCAUCUCCAACCUGUCGUUGGAGAGCAUUGCAGACCGAGCGGACAAACGAUGA